rnacentral:rRNA from 1 species
AAAUUGAAGAGUUUGAUCAUGGCUCAGAUUGAACGCUGGCGGCAGGCCUAACACAUGCAAGUCGAACGGUAACAGGAAGCAGCUUGCUGUUUCGCUGACGAGUGGCGGACGGGUGAGUAAUGUCUGGGAAACUGCCUGAUGGAGGGGAUAACUACUGGAAACGGUAGCUAAUACCGCAUAACGUCGCAAGACCAAAGAGGGGGACCUUCGGGCCUCUUGCCAUCGGAUGUGCCCAGAUGGGAUUAGCUAGUAGGUGGGGUAACGGCUCACCUAGGCGACGAUCCCUAGCUGGUCUGAGAGGAUGACCAGCCACACUGGAACUGAGACACGGUCCAGACUCCUACGGGAGGCAGCAGUGGGGAAUAUUGCACAAUGGGCGCAAGCCUGAUGCAGCCAUGCCGCGUGUAUGAAGAAGGCCUUCGGGUUGUAAAGUACUUUCAGCGGGGAGGAAGGGAGUAAAGUUAAUACCUUUGCUCAUUGACGUUACCCGCAGAAGAAGCACCGGCUAACUCCGUGCCAGCAGCCGCGGUAAUACGGAGGGUGCAAGCGUUAAUCGGAAUUACUGGGCGUAAAGCGCACGCAGGCGGUUUGUUAAGUCAGAUGUGAAAUCCCCGGGCUCAACCUGGGAACUGCAUCUGAUACUGGCAAGCUUGAGUCUCGUAGAGGGGGGUAGAAUUCCAGGUGUAGCGGUGAAAUGCGUAGAGAUCUGGAGGAAUACCGGUGGCGAAGGCGGCCCCCUGGACGAAGACUGACGCUCAGGUGCGAAAGCGUGGGGAGCAAACAGGAUUAGAUACCUGGUAGUCCACGCCGUAAACGAUGUCGACUUGGAGGUUGUGCCCUUGAGGUGUGGCUUCCGGAGCUAACGCGUUAAGUCGACCGCCUGGGAGUACGGCCGCAAGGUUAAAACUCAAAUGAAUUGACGGGGGCCCGCACAAGCGGUGGAGCAUGUGGUUUAAUUCGAUGCAACGCGAAGAACCUUACCUGGUCUUGACAUCCACGGAAGUUUUCAGAGAUGAGAAUGUGCCUUCGGGAACCGUGAGACAGGUGCUGCAUGGCUGUCGUCAGCUCGUGUUGUGAAAUGUUGGGUUAAGUCCCGCAACGAGCGCAACCCUUAUCCUUUGUUGCCAGCGGUCCGGCCGGGAACUCAAAGGAGACUGCCAGUGAUAAACUGGAGGAAGGUGGGGAUGACGUCAAGUCAUCAUGGCCCUUACGACCAGGGCUACACACGUGCUACAAUGGCGCAUACAAAGAGAAGCGACCUCGCGAGAGCAAGCGGACCUCAUAAAGUGCGUCGUAGUCCGGAUUGGAGUCUGCAACUCGACUCCAUGAAGUCGGAAUCGCUAGUAAUCGUGGAUCAGAAUGCCACGGUGAAUACGUUCCCGGGCCUUGUACACACCGCCCGUCACACCAUGGGAGUGGGUUGCAAAAGAAGUAGGUAGCUUAACCUUCGGGAGGGCGCUUACCACUUUGUGAUUCAUGACUGGGGUGAAGUCGUAACAAGGUAACCGUAGGGGAACCUGCGGUUGGAUCACCUCCUUA